rnacentral:rRNA from 1 species
ACAGAGGGUGCGAGCGUUAAUCGGAAUUACUGGGCGUAAAGCGUGCGUAGACGGUUAUUUAAGUCGGGUGUGAAAGCCCCGGGCUCAACCUGGGAAUUGCAUUCGAGACUGAAUAGCUAGGGUACGGUAGAGGGAAGUGGAAUUUCCGGUGUAGCGGUGAAAUGCGUAGAUAUCGGAAGGAACAUCAGUGGCGAAAGCGACUUCCUGGACCAGUACCGACGUUCAGGCACGAAAGCGUGGGGAGCAAACAGG